AUUGAACGCUGGCGGCAGGCCUAACACGUGCAAGUCGAGCGGAUGACAGGAGCUUGCUCCUGGAUUCAGCGGCGGACGGGUGAGUAAUGCCUAGGAAUCUGCCUGGUAGUGGGGGACAACGUUUCGAAAGGAACGCUAAUACCGCAUACGUCCUACGGGAGAAAGCAGGGGACCUUCGGGCCUUGCGCUAUCAGAUGAGCCUAGGUCGGAUUAGCUAGUUGGUGAGGUAAUGGCUCACCAAGGCGACGAUCCGUAACUGGUCUGAGAGGAUGAACAGUCACACUGGAACUGAGACACGGUCCAGACUCCUACGGGAGGCAGCAGUGGGGAAUAUUGGACAAUGGGCGAAAGCCCGAUCCAGCCAUGCCGCGUGUGUGAAGAAGGUCUUCGGAUUGUAAAGCACUUUAAGUUGGGAGGAAGGGUUGUAGAUUAAUACUCUGCAAUUUUGACGUUACCGACAGAAUAAGCACCGGCUAACUCUGUGCCAGCAGCCGCCGUAACAC
rnacentral:rRNA from 1 species